rnacentral:lncRNA from 1 species
GAUUUACUUCCUCCUUGACUUUAUCUCUGAGAGUCUGUCCCAGUAAGGGAUCAAAUGGGGAGGGGAUAAAAAUCAUCCUGUCUCCAGCUGUGGGGAGGUGAUGGUACCUCUCUGGUCUUUGUUAGAUGAGAACAGAUGGCCAGCCUUUGGCAGGGGACCAAUACAAGAGUGCCCACAGAUUCCCUGAGGAACCCAGUUUAUUGAUGAGCUGAAGCAUGGACACCACCCAGCUGCUUCCUGUCUCUUUCUGAGCUGACAAUAUACAGUUCUCAGAAGACCCAGUCUGCUCCUCGCUGCUAAGAGAAGAAGGAGACUCUGAAAUGGGGAAAUUCACCCCUAGUGCUCAGAGUCUCCCAUCCUCCAAAUGAACAAGUGUCAACAGCUUUCUAGGAGGACUGCAGGAUCUUGAGAGAUUCAUCUGGUCUCCAGAAUGUUUUGCCAAAGGACCCCAUGAAGCCAAGAGCAGCCAUGGUGAUUCUUUUUUUCUUUUUUUUUGGCAAUUGGGGUUAAGUGACUUGCGCAGGGUCACACAGCUAGUAAGUGUCAAGUGUUUGGUCUGAGGCCGGAUUUGAACUCAGGUCCUCCUGACUUCAGGGCUGGUGCUAUCCACCAGGC